rnacentral:rRNA from 1 species
GUAUCGGUAGUAGGUUAGCGUGGGAGUGACGCGGGUAGGUAGCCGGCUGCGGAGGUGGUUUUCCGUGGCUAAGCGUGUGGGCUGUCCUCUAGGUAAAUCCGGGGGAUGUUAAGCUGAGGCGUGAUGGGUAGGCUGUAAGGCUGAUUCCGGUGAUCCUGCUUGCCGAGAAAAGCUUCAACGUGAGGUGUGAUUCCGCUCGUACCCUAAACCGACACUGGUGGUCUGGUAGAGUAUACCAAAGCGAUCGGGCGAAUCCUGGCCAAGGAACUCGGCAAAUUACUCCCGUGCCUUCGGCAUAAGGGAGACCCCUGAUGGUGAUAUGGUUUCACAUUGUUGAGCUGUUGGGGGUGGCACAAGCUAGGGGGUAGCGACUGUUUACCAAAAACACAGGAGCGUGCGAAGGCGUAAGCCGCUGUAUACGCUCUGACGCCUGCCCGGUGCCGGAAGGUUAAGAGGAUCCGUUAGCUUCGGUGAAGCGGUGAAUUUAAGCCCCGGUAAACGGCGGUGGUAACUAUAACCAUCCUAAGGUAGCGAAAUUCCUUGUCGGGUAAGUUCCGACCUGCACGAAUGGCGUAACGACUUCCCCACUGUCUCGGCCAGGAGCCCGGCGAAAUUGCAGUACGAGUAAAGAUGCUCGUUAAGCGCAGAAGGACGAAAAGACCCCGGGACCUUUACUAUACCUUGGUAUUGUCGUUAGGUGUGGAUCGUGUAGCAUAGGCGGGAGGCUGUGAAGCGUGGGCGCUAGCUUGCGUGGAGUCGAUCAGUGAAAUACCGCUCUUUCCAUAUCUGGCGUCUAACCUCGACACGUUAUCCGUGUUAGGGACAGUGCCUGGCGGGUAGUUUAACUGGGGCGGUUGCCUCCUAAAGAGUAACGGAGGCGCUCAAUGGUCCGCUCAGCCCGGUUGGCAAUCGGGUGUUGAGUGUAAUCGCACAAGCGGGCUUGACUGUGAGACUGACGGGUCGAGCAGGGACGAAAGUCGGAGAUAGUGAUCCGGUGCCGGCGUACGGACGUGGCAUCGCUCAACGGAUAAAAGGUACCCCGGGGAUAACAGGCUGAUCAUUCCCAAGAGUCCAUAUCGACGGGAUGGUUUGGCACCUCGAUGUCGGCUCGUCGCAUCCUGGGGCUGGAGCAGGUCCCAAGGGUUCGGCUGUUCGCCGAUUAAAGCGGCACGCGAGCUGGGUUCAGAACGUCGUGAGACAGUUUGGUCUCUAUCCUCUGCGCUCGUUGGAAUGUUGAGGAGACCUGCCCAUAGUACGAGAGGACCUGGGUGGACGAACCUCUGGUAUGCCGGUCGUCACGCCAGUGGCGCUGCCGGUUAGCUACGUUUGGAAGGGAUAACCGCUGAAAGCAUCUAAGCGGGAAGCCUGCUCCAAGAUUAGCAUUCCUUGC